AUAAAAACAACCAGGCGUUAAAUACAUCGGCGAAAAUCUUCAAUUUUGAAAGAUGUUGCAGCCGCCCUGUAGAGGCGGGUUAUUGCAGCUUCAGACGCACAUGCAGCAGCAGGAGUCAAAAGUUUCCAGACGAGAACCGUCAAAUUUUCUGUUGCCAAAGCUUACCGUAGCACAACGGUAUCGAGACUUAUGUACCACAAGAAGAACUAUAACAGCCAGAAAUGUGUUAUUUCUAAUAGUCGGCGCGCUGCUAGCGCUACCAGCAGUACUAACACAAACCUCUCCUUCAGAUGAAUUGUACAUCUUGCCAACGCCAGCACUAAAUGUUGCGAAAAGAGACCUUACGACAGUGCUGUUGGUCAAUAACGAGAACAAUGGACGCAGCGACUAUUUGGGCCACUAUGCUAGCGUGCGCCCUGAAGUUGGCUUACUGACUUCAACUGCGCGCACCUUCAUACAGGAGGGCGUAACCACCGAGUACGCCACGCAAGUGGUGGGCACCAUACUGGACAAUGGGCGUUUGUAUGCGCAGUACCUUAAGAAGAGUUCACGCGUGCUUUACGACAAUGGCCAGCAGCAGCCACAUCAAACUGCCGUGUUACCCACAGCCAUUACCAGCUGGGUGGGCGAUAAUUUGGAGUUGCAAACGAAAUCACUGUUGGAGAGCCACAAUGAUCUGUUUAACGCCGAUCAGCCGGAUUGGCAAGACAUCGAUGAUCGUUUGCUAAUCGAUGGCAGUGCUUUUGUUGGCAACACGGAUUUCGUUGGUUUAAGCGAAGGGAGAAAAAAACAGCAAAAUUCAAUCUCCACUGCUUAUCCGACAUUUCCUUCCACCCACAUCACUACAAACUUUAGUAGUAGCAGCAGUAAUAGUAGUAGUAGCAGUGGUCGCAACGGUACGCGAAAUUGGCAUGCCGAUGUUCCCUUGCACAAAGCGAGCCGAACAGGACAGCUGGAGGAGAAUGCGCGCGAAUUGGAAGCGAACAAGGUUCUCCCUAUCGCCGACUUGCCCACGUACACAGUGCGCAAUCACUUCUCGCCGAGUGGUUUCUCAACAGAAAUGAACUUAAAUCAGGUACAUUUGCCCCAGCAUCCGGUAAGUGGUGGUACUGGCGAAUCCUCGCAUAUAUACAAAAAAUUUGGCAACAAUGAGUUGAUACUCAAUCGCUCGCCAAAGCUCUAUUACCAACAGCUGAUGGGUGCUAACGGUGGCAUUAGUAGGGCUUUCAAAGCCGCACCGGCAGAAGCCUUUUUAAAUCGGCAGCUGUCGACCACCACUUAUUAUGGAUUCGCGGACUUUACGACUAUUGUUGGCGACAGUGUGAUUGUCUUCUCGCCCAGCACCUCCACUGAGAACCUGAACUUGGGCCAUGUGACGUCGAUAAAAGGCGAGGCGACUUUGGACGCCAUUGGUGACAUUAACAAGCCUCAGGUGUCUACAGUCGCUAUAACAGUGGCUAUAGCACCAACGCUAGCUGUCAACACACAGUUGCUAUCAACAAUGCAUAUAGCUGAUCCGAAUAAGUUUACUGAAAAUAGCAUCAACCUUGAGGCCGGAGCUGCCUUGAUGCCAUCACAAAUACCAGAAGAAAUUACGUCACAUGAAGUGGCAUACAGUGCGGAAGAGAAAGCGACAGCAUCGGUUGCAGAUAUGGUGAAAAGUAACGCACCCAGUAGCAUUCAGUUUGGCGGAACUGAAGCGGAUAGUAAAUUGAACAUUGGCGAAAGCCACCUCACUACCAACAUGCAGACGCUUGCGACAUACUCGCGUCCAUCUGAUCAAGAAGUUUUGGAAAUAUACGCCUCACUGUCACGCGCAGAGGCAUCACGCAAAUCGGCCACUACAGCAGCAGCUGCACAUUUAGAUGUAAAAAUUAUUACUGAGCAGCUAGUUGAUGAAAGCAAAGCUAUCUAUAUGAUGGAAGCCACUUUGCAAAGCAGUGAGCCGCGCAGCACUGAAGCUGCCACGCCUAAUGCAGCGGUGGAUAUUGCUCAGCCCAGUACCAGUUCUUCCGGGAAGAUGUUAGGUGGUGCAACCACAAUAUUCUUCGAGGACGACCCUUUUGCCAACUUCGUGGAGCCCACAACUACCGCCGAAAGUGCAAAAUUAGACUCCGGUGCCACCAUAAUGGAAACCACGGAUGUUUCGGAGCAAGAUACGUCGCAAAUUGGUUACGAAACAACAACAACCAGCAGUGAUACAACCAAAGAGGAGUACGAAGACGUGGAUGAAACAAUCACCAUCGAACCACCAAAAAUUAUUACUUUCCCGAAUAAUACUAAACAAAGCAUGGAGGGAGAAGCAGAACGGGAUACUGCAUCAGCGCAGGAAGCAGAAGCGCAACCUGCAGACAAAAAUGUGCCAGCCGUUCAAGUAAAGCCAACGUCCAAAGUCAGCGUAUUGGAGAUCAACACCGACGACGAUGUGGCGGUUAUAGAUGAUUGCACAAGAACUUCCCAAGUUUUUCUUACACAAAUUGCCCAAACAGUAACCAAAUCAAGCGCUCUGUAUGAGAAGGGCGAUGACGGCGAAAUGGCCAAACCCGGGACGCCACUGCCGCCAACCUUUGACAUUUUUGAAACAACCAAGUAUUAUUGCAUAAAACCUGAGGCAACAAUAGUAGUAACAGCAACCAGGGGCCCAACUGACAGUUUUACUAUAGAGGAGGAGGAGGAGAAACGAACGCAAGUGCAGAAGCCACAGGCACAGGAUGCUAAUGCAGCGGAAGUUACCGAAAAUUCCGUGAACGCCACGAAUGCGGUUUCCGCGCCUAAAGCAAGCACAGUAAUCGAAACUACCAGCGAUGCACCUAAUGAGAGCGAAACAACAUCAAGCGCUGCUCAAAGCGAAAUAGAAAAUGAGGAGGAUGCAAAUAACGAUGCCGAUAUGGACGUCGACACUGAAUUAGAAGACGCAGUCUAUUCGACUGAAGAGGAGUCAGGAGAAGAGAUUGAGCUAAUUUAUAAGACGCUCUACACGACGUACACAUACUUGACCACCUUCUUUAAUGACGACAGCAAAACCAGUAUCUCAAGCCACACGGAAGUGCUCACCAACGUUGUGACAUCGACUUUGGAUUUGGGAGCCAAAGAAAUAGAGCCAACCGCCAUAAACCGGCAGACAACGGCAGGCACCUUGCGGGCAGAAGAUGGAGCCAAAAUGCAGCCACAGCAGGAAGACUCUGCAGGCACUUCGAAAUUUAUACUGCCCACUGAGUUGGAGAGUAUUUUGCGGGAAGGAGAGCAUACCAGGGAAAGCAGCGCCAAUGACUACAAUACGAUCAACGAAAAAUCUGAGCAAGCGACCACGUUUUUGGAUGACAAUAAACUACUCAAGACAUACUUUACCACCUACACGUAUUACACGACCAUAUUUGUAGACGGUGAGACGGAGCUCAUGUCUAGAACGGAGGUUUACACAAACUUCGUUACAGACUCCAUAGCGGCCACAGCCGUGCUCGAAUGGAGUAAGUCGGCACACGCACCGGAAGUUAGUAUUGCGAAGGAGAUUGGGGAAGGAAGCAAUUUAAAUAAAGUCAAUGAAACCAGCGAAGGCACUGCCAACGACCAUCAACUAUUGAGCUACAGCACCAUGAUACGCGGGCAUGCCACCUCCGCAUACAAAAGCCAUCCAGAGCCAGAUCUUAGUAACUAUACAUCCGUCAUGCUGGUGACUGACGUGCGUUCGAGCAGCUCGAACGGUGACCAUCACAUCAUCAAUCAAAAACAAGGCUCCUUCGUAGACGACCAAAUAAGCUCGGAAAGUAAUACCGAUGAAAUAAGACCGUCAGCCACUUUACUGCUGCAGACAAGCUUCACCACUUUCACCUACUACACGACAAUGUACAACAACGAUGCGACAAAUGUCAUAAGCCGCUUGGAGACGAUUACUAAUCUAGUCACCGAGACAUUGCAGGCAAGUAAAACCGAAAGUGUUGAGGAAGCUAUGCUGCCCAUUACAUAUUUCACCACAUUUACAUACUGGACCAAGCUCGCAAAGAAUGGCGAAAUCACGACGCUCAGCCGGGAGGAGACAAUCUCCAACAUUGUCACACCGACCACUCUUACACCUAUGGGCGCUUCGAUUGCGCCCAGCAUCUUGCUGCAAGACACAAAUUCAAGAGCUGAAGCCGUAAAUUCAGCGAACGAUGAGGUGGUACAAAUUGCCAGCGACACGCCUACUCCGUCGAUUAGUGUGCCAACAAAUGAGCUGCAUGUGGUCGAAGUAAACAAAACCAGAGUGUUUGAGCCCACGACCUACUACACAACUUACACGUAUUAUACCACUUCAUACGAUGGGGACAGAGCGAUAACAGAUUCUCGGUUCGAAACAAUAACAAAUUUGGUGACGCCUUCUAUAAUUAUUUCGGCUGCAACCCCAGCAGUUGAGGGGGUUGGUACUGCCACCAGCGAUAAUAGCGCGCCAAAUGAGGGAGAGGGUGCUAAUGACGGCAUUACACCUGCGCUUUUAAAAGAUACUCCUUUGCUGCUUUACGAUUACAAAAAGAUUAUUGACUCGGACGGUAUUAGUACACUUCACUUCACCACGGAGAUAUUAUCCACAAUCGCUGCCGAUGGCUCGCCGUCCGAGUUCAUUAGCAGCACAUCGAGUUUGUAUAUUGACGAAGUCAAGAAAGCGCUGCUGCCGAGCACUAACGGAGUAACGGUGAAUGUGGAUGGCAGCACUGCGCGCCAGUAUAAAACGGGGUUGGUACGACUGAUAGAGGGCACACGCAUCGGCAACCGCACAACCACCCUAUAUCAGUCCAAAGUUAUAGGCACAUUUAUAGAGAACCGUUAUGCUCAAAUUAUUGAGAGCACGUCUAGUUUUAUUUUUGAAACAAAGAAAUUGAAUGGCAAUAAUAUCGCCACUGGUGUGUCUAUUGGACCAACUCUUACAAUGAGGUCAUCUCCAGAGAUAGAAGCCACAAAAAUAGCAACUCUGGAUAUACCAGCGGUCCGCACAAGUAUUGCGGACACUGGCUCGGAAGAGAGCGCCACUGAUUUGCCCACAGAUGGUGAGGACGCUAAAGAAGAUGAUGAGGACGAGGAUGGUGACGAUAACAAAGCCCGUUUGCCCUUCCAAUCGAAGAAACGUACUUUUACGCCAGUAAUACGGCCAUUUGCUUCGCGAAAUCGACCGCAGUUUGCACCUAAGAAGAAGAACGGUGCACCAAGUAGCGCUACAAUUAUAACACGCCUUGAUUUCACACCAACUAUAACUGCUACACCUGCGAUAAAAUCCAGCGGUCGUUUUAGCACGAGAAAAGGCGGAAUUUAUAGCAGCCCUGUAUCAUCAGGCACUUUUAUUGCUGCCACUGGUUCGUCGUCUCGUCGAUCCUUCGGCAGACCUAUCAAGCCCUCACAGGUAGCUGGCAAUGGUGCUGGGCUGAAUUCCCCCGCAUUAGCGUCCACUAGUGGGUUUGGAGGUGGUAGAAAUAGACUUUCGCCUUCCACUCGUCCAACGCUGCAGUCCUCUACACGUCGCGCAGGUGUUUUGAUACGGCCUUCAUCUCCUGGUAGCUUCCGACCAGGUUUCUCAACUCCCUAUGCUGGAAGUUCACGCGGACGCAUUAAGCCAACAGGUUUGGGGUUGCUUGGCCAACAAAAUACCCCAGCGGAAGGCAUAACUACUUCAUCGCCAGAUACAAGCGGCGAAGAAGAGUCGACUACACUGCAGCCAGAUGAAGGCGAAAAUGAAGAGACCUCUGCAGAUGUCACACGCCGAAGUCAAAACCCAUUGUUGCGUUUUCGCAGACCAAUAAAUCGCCCAGCUGGUUUUACGCCGGCCAAUCAGCGUACCAGCAGUUCUAGCGGUGGCGCAAUCUCGCCUCGGCGCAAUCCUUUGACAGCUCGUGCUAGAUCGGAAACUACUACGCCCACCACUACAACGACAACACCCCAACCGCGGCCACGCAGCUUUCAACGACCACAAAUCGGAAAUAUACCAGGCAAACCACGCCCACAAAACAGUCUCUUUCCGCCACGGGGACUGCUCCAAAAGCAAACAAAUCAAGAUGCCAACGAAGCCAAAGAAAGUAAAAAAGAUGAAAUCACUGAAGGAAACGUAGAUGGAGAUGAUGAUUCGGAGUACGACGAUGAAGACGAAGAAGAUAACGAAGAUGAUGCCUAUGGUGAGAACAAUCGGCGUCGUCGCUCUAGUACCAAACAAUCUAAAUCGUCGACUAAGUCAGUGGCUUUAAAAUCUCAAAAAAUCUACAAAAACUCAAAGCCUUUUACAAAAUCUGAGCGCUCGUUACGUGUACGCCGUGAAACCACUACCUCUUUGCAAAGGCGCAGUAAUUUUCGUAACAGAUUCCGUCGCCCGAAGCUUACAUCCACUGCCGAGGAACGCAAUUUCACUGAGGACGUCGAACCAGAAACCUCCCCACCACCCACCACAACAGCAACGCGUCCACGGACCAACGGCCGUUUUGCUUCACGCUUCACGGGACACCACAGUACGCAAGCAGCCACAACCACAACAGCAAGCACAUCAAGCCAUCGUACUAUAAGACCCACGCGACCCACAAAUGGGCGCGCACAGUUCACAUUGCGAGAAAAAGACACCACCACAACGCAGAAAGUUCUGACGCGCCCUGGCACUAAUAAUUUCCGUCGACCACAAACUGCGGCUUCUUCCCGACGUACACCACCGCCAUCGGCUGGAAACAGUCGGCGUUUAAAAUCUUACAACAACAAUUUGUCACAGGACACAUCCUCCCGCAGUCCAUCGGCGAGGGGACGCAACAACUUAAGUCGUACGCGCACAACAGUGCGUGGACGCAGCCGAAAUGACUACAAUGCCGAUACGGUUGAGAUACCAUAUGACGGCACAAUCACCGUCACGCACGUCAUACCAGCUGAAGUCACGAUCCCAGUCGUCAAUGGCAAGUUAACAGAAUACAAAAAUGUUGUCACGGCAAAGACGAGCACCGAAGUGUUGGGUCCGCAGCAAUACACCAGUUUUGUCGGCGGCAACGGCCAGACUAUGUUGGCGUUGACCCGCGAAGACUCCAGCAUAAAUUUCGGUGGUGCUACUGAGAUUACACAGUUUGUUCUGCACGAGUCACCGACAACUACUGUCAUCUUCACACCAACAACAAUACGUGGACGCAAAACAUCGUUUUCGCAUGUCAUACCAUCGACGGUUUAUUCAGUGGAAAAUGUCGUUUCCACAUCACAGCCUCAAAUAUCUGCGAAUGCACCCUUGGCCAACAUCUUACUAUCACAACUGCUGCUCGGCAAUAUUGGUCUCCCGGCGGCGAACCCCUUGCUUGGCGCAUUUGGUGCGGCAGUGACACCAGCAGCGAAUCAAUUGGCGGUGGGUGCACCGGGCACCCCAGCAACGCCCGUUACUGAAUACCGCACACAUACUUCCACCUACGUGACCACAGUUUUCGAGGGCAUGUCCACCAUACUGCCGGUGACAUUCCAGGGUAAAAAGAUACUUACCACCGUCUACGAUACAACCGCACAAACAAUAACAGCCACAGAAUUUGUCACCGACACCAUUGUGACCACACCGACGCCACAACCCCUCGUAGCACAGGUACCGCAGGUCAACAGCUUGCUGUUGCAACAACUGCUGUUACAGCAGCAACUGCAGCCGCAAAUCGAGACACAGCAACCGAUACUACAUUCGGCGGCCCCGCAGCUGCUGCUGACAGACAACCUACAGGAUCUGGACACAAACAAUAUACGAUCGUCUAACGAUAAUGAUAACGACAUACCCGUCGUCGAAGAGAAUCAGUCGAACAAAGUGGUCCGAAAGAAGUCACGCAAAUCGGGUAAGUCACACAAGCGGAAACACCAGUCAGUACCGGAGGAAGCGCCGGAUGGCUCUAGCGUCAUUACCCUGUAUGUCUCAGGGCGACGUCCAGGUGAAUUCAGUACUAUUUUGAGCACAGUGCCCUUGGGAUACGAGUCAACUCUGCAUAAGCGCCAAGCGCCUGGCGUCGUGAAACAAUCUGCCAGAAUUGAUUCCGUUAAUGAUUUUUACUUGACGGAUGGUAGUGAGAUUGUGGCGGAAUACAUAUUACCAGAAGAGCUGAAAGAAGCAAACGCGGUGCCUCAAAUCGACUUGAAUAUGCUCGAGAGCGGCGAAAAUCACCUGCUUGACCAAACGCAAUCAUUAGAGAGUAUUGUCGGCGACGUGGGUACUUGGCUCGCUAAAAGCACGCAAUUACAUGACGGUCAAACAGCGCGUAAACUGCUAGCCACCAGUGCACUGCAGAGAGAGGCACUUCAACAUGUCGAAAGUCGUUUGGUAAGACGACAGCCGUUGCUCGACAAUUCGACGGACAAACCGGAUGAAAGCAGAAAAUACUAUAAUUUUUUAGUUUAGCUGACCUUACUGUGUUAUCAUCCCCAUGCCAGUUCAAGGUCAUUAAUUUCGAUUCAAAAAGCCCAAACUCAGCUAAAAGUAGUUUGGAUAUAGGUAUUUAUGAAAGGAACAGCAGUAAGAGCAGCAGUUCACACAUUAGCAGCAAACGCAUGAAGGUGUACGACAUCAACAGAGGAAACGGCAGAGCCAGUAGCAAUGACGCGAUCUUUCGUAAAUACUUGGGGAAUAACAUAAUAUACACACAUGAUUUCAAUUUCAAAGGAAAGUCAACUCAAAUACAUAAAAACCAAAUAACGAAAUCAAUUAGAUGUAAAGACAUUGUGUCUGCUAAAAAAUCGAACCACACAUAUGCCAUAAACAAAUUAAAUCAUACUAUUAAUCAAUGUAAUAUGUUACAGAAUAGGAGGAGAAGGAGUACCACGCAUUCGAUGGCCACUGGGAAACGUGCGAAAUUAACUAGCGAAAAUUCCACAACAGCAGCAAAUAUUGACUAUGAAAGCAAAUCCGCAACUGCGAAUGAAACAACAAUGAUUUCAAGCCGCGCCGUACGGCGUAGGUAUAAUAAGGUGCUCGUCCGACGGCAAAGAUUGAAAACCGUAACAGCGGAGCUGCCCGACAGUGAAGCAGAAGAGGCGCUCACUGCGACGUCUACUACUACAACUUUGCCUUUGCGAAAGAUCAUUGUCAUCAAACAACAGCGCCGGCGACCGGUAGCGAGGGCAGAACACAACCUGAAAAAUAGAACGGAUAAGGCAAAUGAUAGAAAAGUCUUGAGCGCGCAGAGUUCUGUAUUUCCGAGCAACUUGACAGCUAUCGAAAAACAUAAUGAUAGUAUUGGCAACGCAUCCGCAUCGCCAGUUGACAUAGGCCACACGACGACCCCAGUAAAAAGCAAUGUCCAGAGCCACGGCCGCAGCCGCGUGGUGAGAAAACGUAUACAUCGCAAGCUUCGUGUAUUUGAACUAACAGGCAUGGCUAAUCAAAGCGCCAUAUCAACAACAAAACCAACAGUGCAAGUUAAGCCACAGCUGGCAUUCACUGGAAUAGAAACUGGAAUAGAAACUGGAAUAGAAACUAAAGCUGCAACAGAAAUGGUGCCCAUAAUCCUCGACUUGCAAACAAGAACCAAAGAAAGUGUGCGCGAAAUGACACCAUCACGCACGCGGAAGAAACGGCGGCGCAAGAAACAGGGACGUUCGCGGAUGAGCUCACAGACCCAAAAUAAAUCAGACAAACGUGAAAUGCAAACAAUGAAUGACAAAGCGUCAUCACCAAUUUCACUGUCUAUUGCACCAACUAAAGCCCUACCAGCAAUUUCAAAUGUUUUAUCAAAUGCCAUGCGCUCGAUGAGCAAAAUCUAUGCCACGGUUCCAGCAUCGGUAAUUAGUAGUAGCGACGCUGAAAUUCAAGCAACGCCAGCACUCGAAACCCAAACAUACAUUAAAUACGAAGUCGCUACCAACGUGCAGUAUGUGACAAACGUACGUGCACGCACCUAUACAUAUGUUGUUGAUCGCGUGCACGAACAACAACAUCACGUCGAAUCUUCCACUCUGGUCCGCAUGCAAACGCAGAUCGUACCGAUUACAAUGAGAAUAACACUGACGCUAACUAAUGUCUUAACUCAGGCCGCGCCAACAGCGGGGCCAACGCAGUGAGAACAGGUGACGACUGCAAUAUGCAUUGCGUGUCCUAAUCUUGGGUUUCAGACAUUUUAAUAAUCACAAGAAAAAACAGAAUGAAAAAAGAACUAUCGGCGAAUUCAUAUUUGCGAAAUUCUACUGGUCCUGGUCUACACUAUUGCUACAAAAUAAUACAUAACAUAAAUACCUGUUAAUAAAUAUAGAUAUAUAUACAUUCAUACAGAUAUACAUGCACACAUAUACAUAUGUACAUAAGUUCAUAUGUACAUACAUGCAUAGAAACCCAAGUCGUAAGUUUUGUACGAGUAUAUUUAGCGCUGCAUGGACAUGCGUGUUUAAUGAGCUCUGUGUGAAAGCGAUUAAUAUAAAGUACAGCAUGACAAGAAGUCUUUUGAUUUCUGAUUUCUACGUAAAAGUGGCAUUCGAUUGAGUAGCGAGAUGGAGGGAACUAAGAACGGCAAAACGUGUGUAAUUGUUGUUUU